AACAAGCUAAUCGAAGAUCAAUUUCUUCAAACUUUUUUUCGUCUAUAUCUUCAAAAUUUAAAUCACUCAUGAUUGCCUCAAACUCGUCAAGAAAAGCAGAAUUGAGCUGAAUUAAUUUGUUAAGACAAGGCGGAAAUAGGGUGUUUAAUUCAUAAAGUCCCAGCAAUUUUUUCGAAGACUUGGCCAAAUCCCGUAAAGGGAGUGCAUAAUCAUUAACUAAAUGGCGUAGUCUCUCAACAUAUGUGCUCUCUGUUUCCAUCAUCUCAAUGAGUAAACUCUUUUUUUUUUGAAUUGCAGGUAUGGUUCCGGCAUCUUUACUAGACGCAAAACUCGGACUCGGACUUGAAGUCUUUUUUCGUGAAUCCUCAAACAUUUCCCUACUUCCUAUAACGGUUUUCCAAUAAGAGUUAGAAGGGUCUUCCCACCAAGAGUUAUCAACCUUUAUGUCAAAAAUAGCAUCUACCACGAAUUCGCGUACACCAUUCGGCUCGCCAAGAGAAUAAAGCUCACGAGUGAGAGAAGAUGACUGGAAAACGUUUAUUGUAUCAAAAAUAUAGGAAGCAUACUCAGGUUCAAUGACUGACUCUCGCCAAUUUUCGCCUGUAUGUAAACAUACAGAUUCCACGCAAAGAAACUCAUAUACGCAUGCAGCAG